GUGGUCUCUCUUAAAGACAUGUCAUAUGAACAUUCUGUUGCCAGUCCUCAGUAAUAUCAGGCAAUUCACCUAGAAUUCAGAAAGCAACAAAUAGAACAAUUCCUCUCUCUUGGGACUUCAUUUUCUUGGAUCUGAAUUUUUAAGUCCUGAAGAUUCUGAAAUAUUCCAAAGGAUUAGGAGUUUAAAAUUCUCUCUUCCUCAUGGAGGAAAACCAGGAGAUAUACAAAGAGGUAUCCUGCUAGAGGAUCCCAGGCUAACGAUGGAUUAGGGAAGAACAGGCAAGAUUAUCUAGUUUAUAUUAUUCUAUUUCCACUUUGUUAGUGACUUACACUUAAUUACAGUCUUAAUAAAUAUUCUAGUUUUGUCUCAACUGUUAUCUGGGUAUUAUGGCAGGAGACUUAUUUAAAUAUAGAUCAUGAAGCCCCCUUGGUGUUAAAGGGCAGAAUUAUCCUCCUGGCAGCAGUAAUUAGCAAGAGACCUUUAAGGUAGGAAUUACACAUAAUGUCAUUUUUAACACCAAUACCAAUCAAUUAGUAGUGGCUGCCUGAAGCCACAUCCAGAUUCAAGCAGGAAAGAAUGCUUUGAUCAAUUAGUACUCCUAUCAAUCAUGAAUACAACAGAGGAAGUGGCAACACUGGUGAAUGAUGAGUAUCAUCCCUGACCUAAAGAAAGUUGCAUAUCAAGGAACAGGGUUAGGGCCUUGGAGGAUCUGGGUUUUCUAUAAUUAAAAAGGACAAUUCUUUUUAUUAAGGAAGAAAAAUAUAUUAAGGAAGUUAUCAUUUACCAUAUAAUUUCACAUCAUAAUUUCUUUGGGCAAUUGCCUUCAUUUCCUUCAAAUGUUCAUCACCCAACAUGGUUUGCAGGUCCUUUGGCAUGUGGAUUAUGCAUGAUGAGGCACAUUCUGGUUUAUCUCUGUACAUUCUAAAAUGCUGUGCCCAGAACUCCCUGGAAAGGGGUGGAAUAGGGAACAGCAUAGACAAAAAGAUAUCCCCAAGUAAUAUUGGAAAUGAAGAAAUAGAAUAAAAACCACAAAACAGCAAGAAUAGCCUCCAACACCUUUAUUAAAUCUAAGAGAAACAGUAGAGGUGUGUCUAACUAGUAUGGCACCACCAAAAAGAAGAGGCAGGCAAAGAAUCUAAGGAAGAUGCCUCCAGUGAAAGAAACUCCAGUGCUAGCCAGAAACUUACAGUCAAGGAUGAUGUGUCCAAGCGAGGAGGACAUAAGAGAAGCAAGGUGCCAAAUAAAGAAUGAGAGGUCAAAUGUAAUACAAUUUGCUGACUGUAAGGGGGAGAGUUUUUUUCCCCAAAAUGCCAAAGUACAUAAAGAUAAAGGUGAAAGUUUCCUCUCACCAGUUCCAGUGUUAACAGUGAGAGUUCUUGGGCAAGCCCUCCCCAAAUGACCGAAAUGGCCCUCCUGCUACUCCAGGACUACAUUUUACCAGCAUAGUGACAAAGUAAAAAGCAAAUGAUUAGUUCAAGCCAGUGAUGUGAAGGACACAAUUGGAGAUACUGGUUACUUUACAAAGCAUUUAACUGGAAUGGCAUAUUUUCCAUAAUGACCAGACUGCUUUGAGGAAUUAAGGUUGACUUAUAAAGCUCAAAAAAAGCUUCUUGGAAAGGCUGGUCUGGUAUGUUGUCUGCAAGGUUCCUUUACAAGUUCCCUGACCUUUGGUAACUAAGGAAUGUCACUUUCUGACAGUCCCAGGAACCUCAAAUUAUUUGAGCACUUUGAGGAAAGAGGAACUCACCCAAUUCAUACAGAUAUUGCAAUAGUCUGAUGGCAAAUCCUUGGCAUGGCUUCUAGCCUUGAGGCUUUUAAAAGUCUAAUCUGAGAUUCCUUAUGAAAAAGUUCCAGCAAAGUCAGUCUUAAAAGAGUUUAUAUGCAGCCUGAAUGACAUAGUAAGAAUCCCAUCUCUAAAAGAAGAAGAAAAAUAAAUAAAAAUAAAAAAGCCUAUAUAGCC
ensembl:lncRNA LINC02402 long intergenic non-protein coding RNA 2402